rnacentral:rRNA from 1 species
UACAGAGGGGGCAAGCGUUGUUCGGAAUUACUGGGCGUAAAGGGCGCGUAGGCGGCCUUCUAAGUCGAACGUGAAAUCCCCGGGCUCAACCCGGGAACUGCGUCCGAGACUGGAAGGCUUGAAUCCGGGAGAGGGAUGUGGAAUUCCAGGUGUAGCGGUGAAAUGCGUAGAUAUCUGGAGGAACACCGGUGGCGAAGGCGGCAUCCUGGACCAAUUCUGACGCUGAGGAGCGAAAGCCAGGGGAGCAAACGGG